rnacentral:rRNA from 1 species
AGAACGAACGCUGGCGGCAGGCCUCAAACAUGCAAGUCUAGGGGGUGUAGCAAUACAUCACCGGCGGACGGGUGCGUAACACGUGGGAAUAUACCUUUUGGUUCGGAACAACGCAGGGAAACUUGCGCUAAUACCGAAUGUGCCCUUACGGGGAAAGAUUUAUCGCCAAAGGAUUAGCCCGCGUAGGAUUAGCUAGUUGGUGAGGUAAUGGCUCACCAAGGCUCCGAUCCUUAGCUGUUCUGAGAGGAAGAUCAGCCACACUGGGACUGAGACACGGCCCAGACUCCUACGGGAGGCAGCAGUUGGGAAUCUUGGACAAUGGGGAAACCCUGAUCCAGCCAUGCCGCGUGAGUGAUGAAGGCCUUCGGGUUGUAAAACUCUUUCGACGGGGACGAUAAUGACGGUACCCGUAGAAGAAGCUCCGGCUAACUCGUGCCAGCAGCCGC